rnacentral:tRNA from 1 species
AUGGUAUUUAGUUUAAAGUAAAAUAAAUGAUUUCGACUCAUUAGAUUGUGAUUAAGUUCAUAACUACCAA